CGGAUCAAAGUGCAUCAAGCGCACAGGUAUCACGGUAGCUGUGUGUGGCACGCACGAAGAAAAGGGAGGCGUAUCGCGAAAAAUAAUCAUAAAAAAGAGUCGACGACAAAAUAUGAUGUGUCAAAUCAGUGUAGACCUGCUGGCAAGAAAAUUCCUUUCCCGGGAUUGGGGGAGAAAGUUCUCAGUUUGAAGUAUAAAAGGUUAUCGAAGCAGGGAGCAAAAACGAACUGGACCGAAUGAAGAAAAUUGGCCACUAAAUGAGAUCGUCUGUAAGUUACAUGUUAUCGCAAGGACCAGGUGACCCGAUAAUGGCGCAUCCAGACUACGAGCAGCAUCACUAUCAUCACGGUUGUCUGCUAAUCCUUGUGCGCGGAAUCGGUCCACUGAAGCCGCGAUCUCUGCAGCGUGUUUUCGAACGAAUUCAGCGACUGAACAACGUCAAAAUUCCUGAUUCUUCAGGAAUAACUCGAGAUAUUUGGGUCCGAUAUAUUAGAGACCAUCCAGUGGAAAAUAAUGAUUGGGGUGAUUUCCAGCCGCAUCGGAGACUGCUGGGUUUGAUAACAGUUGGCAAAUUCGACAACCAAACCGAGCUGAAUGUAACAAUCUACGGCAGAAAAAAACCGAUAUGGUGAUUAACGGCAUCGAUUCCGGACAAAACCUCCGCUUCUUCUAACUUCCCUCCGAACAUUCUCCAACCGGAGGAAAUUCCAGCCCGUUAUCGAGAAGCGAUUAUUACACGCAGAAAAAGAAAGGGGGCUGGUUUCAACAAAACGUUUUGUUAUUUUAUUUUACAAUAUCGAUGCAAAUUUUUCGAUACGUUUCACUAAAAAAUCGAUCGAAAAUAAUAAUAAAAUUUUGUAAUUUUUACACACUCAUUUUUUAUUACUUACAUAUAAAAUUUGAUUUAAUUCGAAAUAUAAAAUCGGUUCAUUUCAAUAAACGUGUAGUUGGCCGAAAAAUUAAAAACAAAAGAAAAAAAAAAGAAAAUAAGCGGGAAAGAUGAACAAAUUUUCUCAUCCGAACGGCUUAUUCGUCGGUGCGGCUGGACCCCUCCGGAUUUGUUCCACAACUCACAGGGACCGAUCGAAGUCGAAACAAUAUUCGAAGCUGGUUCAGGAAGGAAAUGGGACGAAGUAAGAGCGAAGUAAGGCUUUCCAUUAUCCCCCAAAGCAACAGCUAUUAGCGGUAAUAUAGAUUGACCAUGAUGUGUAAAAAGGGAAACGAUGACUUUCCCAAUGAUAAAAAGCAUUUUGCAUCAAAUAAAUGAGGCAUAAAACAA